rnacentral:lncRNA from 1 species
AUGAGCCUUUUUGACCCCCAUCUUCAUCAGAGUCUCACUCCAGCAGCUCUGGAAACUCGUGGACUCCUUCUCCCUUGGGUUUUGCGGAAUCCCUCUGUGUAUGAGAAACUGGCAGGAUGGGGUGGUGGGGCCUGGGGGCUAAGAGGCAGCAACCAGCUGGACAAGUGUGAUCCUUAUAAGGGGGGACUCGGUGGGGGGACGCUGAUGCACUCCAGCCCAGGUCAGGCAGGCUCCUCCUGCCAUGCAGGGCAUGUGGAGGCGUCUGGACAUUUGCCCACCAUCCCUGCCUCCCGGGUCUUCCCUUCUUCUUUGGAAAUCCUCAACUUCAGGCCCUGGGGAGGUCAAGUGGGUCCAUGCCCUGUCCAGCGGCUGCCUCCUGCCCCUACAACUCCCCACACUCAGGGUCCUUGGAGACGUUGGGGGCAGAGUCCCAGAGCCAUUCCUCACCCAGGUCCAGGGCCCAGGAUCCGGAGACUGGAGCUCCUGGCCAGUGUAACGCAGGACGUACGCGUGCGGGUGUAUGUGUGUGCAUAUUUUGCUGAUCUCUUUAGGAAAUGUGGGGAUAGGGUCAAAGGUAGUGUGUGGGCAAUGGGACAUCCAGUUCAGUAUCAUCCAGCAGCAAAAGGAAUCAGGAGGACUGGCUCCCCUGGGUGGGGUCUGGCAGAUCGGCUCCUUCCUGACUUCUCUGUCCUUGGUCGUCCACACUGUUGGUGGACUUUCGUGUAUGUCCCACACUUGGGCUCUUCCUGGCAGCGAGGUCACUGCAGACGGCCGUCCCAAGUUUGGUUUCUAAUCAGUGUUAAACAGGUUGAGACUCUCCCGUGUGUCCAUGUUUGGUUUGUGUGUGCGGGUGAGCACAUCGGCGUGUGCAUGCCGUGUUUCCCCGUUUUCUCUCCUCCCUCUGACAUGCCAUUCAGAACAAAUGUAGAGAUUCCUUGCCACUGCCUCCCCGCCUCCCCGGCCCUCUGCAGGAGAGACAGAAUAACCCAGCAUCCUCCCCAUCCCCUGGCUGUGUAUUUAUAUAGAUGGAAAUAUCCUUUCUAUUUUGUAUCAUCGUGCCUAUAAGCUCUGCCACCUUGUAUAAACCCUGACCUGUGCUACUUACCCGGAUAUGAAUGUAUUGUAUGCCCAUGCUGGCCCAGCCCUGUACAGCCGCUUUGUUUCCUCGCGACCCAUUGUAUGGCUUUAUAAAUGAUAAAGCGAAAGAAAAAAUCUGUGCCUUUCUCUAGCUGUGUUCUUUGGGAAGGGGUCUGC